CCUACGGGAGGCUGCAGUGAGGAAUAUUGGUCAAUGGCCGGAAGGCUGAACCAGCCAAGUCGCGUGAGGGAAUAAGGCCCUAUGGGUCGUAAACCUCUUUUGUCAGGGAGCAAAGGCGUCCACGAGUGGACGAAAGGAGAGUACCCGAAGAAAAAGCAUCGGCUAACUCCGUGCCAGCAGCCGCGGUAAUACGGAGGAUGCGAGCGUUAUCCGGAUUUAUUGGGUUUAAAGGGUGCGUAGGCGGAACAUUAAGUCAGCGGUAAAAUCGAGGGGCUCAACCCCUUUAAGCCGUUGAAACUGGUGAUCUUGAGUGGGCGAGAAGUAUGCGGAAUGCGUGGUGUAGCGGUGAAAUGCAUAGAUAUCACGCAGAACUCCGAUUGCGAAGGCAGCAUACCGGCGCCCGACUGACGCUGAGGCACGAAAGCGUGGGGAUCGAACAGGAUUAGAUACCCGAGUAGUC
rnacentral:rRNA from 1 species